GACGAACCGUCCUAACGUUGUUCGGAAUCACUGGGCUUAAAGGGCGCGUAGGCGGCCUUGAAAGUCGGGGGUGAAAUCCCACGGCCUAACCGUGGAAGUGCCUCCGAUACUGCAAGGCUCGAGGGAGGUAGGGGCAGCUGGAACUUCCGGUGGAGCGGUGAAAUGCGUUGAUAUCGGAAGGAACGCCGGUGGCGAAGGCGGCCUUCUGGGUCGACCCUGACGCUGAGAGGCGAAAGCGUGGGGAGCGAACGGG
rnacentral:rRNA from 1 species